rnacentral:misc_RNA from 1 species
GAUGAAGAACGCAGCGAAAUGCGAUAAGUAGUGUGAAUUGCAGAAUUCAGUGAAUCAUCGAAUCUUUGAACGCACAUUGCGCCCCUUGGUAUUCCAUGGGGCAUGCCUGUUCGAGCGUCAUUUGUACCUUCAAGCUCUGCUUGGUGUUGGGUGAUUGUCUAUCUUUGUAGACUCGCCUUAAAGUCAUUGGCAGCCGGCAUAUUGGCCUGGGAGCGCAGCACAAGUCGCGCUUCUUGUCAUGAAUGUUGGCGUCCAGUAAGUCUACAUAUUUUGCUCUUGACCUCGGAUCAGGUAGGGAUACCCGCUAAACUUAAGCAUAUCAAUAAGCGGAGGA